rnacentral:lncRNA from 1 species
UAUCUGAAACAAUUAGUAGGAUUAGUCGUUUAGAAUUAGUAAGUAUUCAGAAAAUUCAACGCCAAUAUUGUUAAGCUCCUUCAGAUAUGUACAAUGUAACCCUAAAAUAUGCCUUAUCAUCUCUGCUGUGAAAAUAGGUUCCAGUCUAUCUAUCUAUCUACCGUGUACGUGUGCAGAACAAAUUAUUUACACUGAGUGAGAGACUACAGUAAUAACCAUGCAAUGUGAUAAUAAUUAGUAAUUAGCUAAAAUAAGGUGUUAGAAUUGUUUCAGAAUCUCAGAAUGAAAUUAGCAAUGCACAUGCUUGAAUAAAUAAAUGAAUUCUAAAGGAGGUUACAUAGAUCUUAUAUUUUCAAAAUAUCGAUUUUAAUUUUUUUUAUUCCAUAUGAAAGUAUAGUUGUUCAAAAGUAUUCACACUUCAAAAUUCAAGCAAUAUUUCCGGAGUUAGAGAUAUUUGAAUACCGCGCGACCGAUACGCGCGCUCUACCUUCGCUAUUAGUGUAGAAACACACGGUGGCCUGCCAUGUUCGCGAUAAGUCACCGGAUCCCGCUAGUAGUGGUGUCCACAAGUCACAUAAACCUUUUCAGACGGGCCACUUUUGUAGUUGUCGCCGUUUUUUACGAGGGUUUACAUGGUGAGUAGGUAAAAUGUCUUCUGAUUCUGAAAGGUUUUUGAUCGAAAUUCAAAAUAGUCCGGCUAUAUGGGAUACAAGAACCCAGGACCACAGCUCAUGAUUGUUCUUUCAAUAUAUUCUUUAAGAUACCUGAUCUUUGGACAAUCUACAGUAAUUAAAGUACUUUUCAGCGUCUGCUUUUAAUUCAUUAUCAAUGUAUAGUAUUGUCCAGUUAAUAAUCUGUAUGAGGUAAUCGGAUGCAUCUAUACUGAUCGUUGUCUACGAGACGUUUACUUCAACGACGUAAUAGAAGCACUAGAAGGAGACUUUCCUCGUCUGGAUCCAUCGUUAAACCGAACAAACUAACUAUUUUUUUUCACUGGCAACAUUACGCUCCGCCAAACUCUUCCACACGAGCGACUUCGCAUCGGUCGUCGGCGCUACAAAAUCGCCUGUCUAACCCACUUUGUGGCGCCACUCAGUAGCGCUGCAAAGUGGCUCGUGCGUUUCUACACUUACACACAUGCGGUGCGGUUCUACCGCGCGAAAUCAGCAACUUUAAACGCGUUUUUCUCAAAACUUUGUUUUCCCAUGCGAUAGACAUGAUUUCUCGAGAAAGAAUCAACCGAUUUUAUACUAUUUUUUCGUGAUUAAACAAAGAGAUUUUCAAUCGGUCGACUCGUUCUUGUUCUAUACGAAAAAAA